CCCUUAGAUGUCCUGGGCCGCACGCGCGCUACACUGAACGGAUCAGCGCGUUUUCCCUUCCCGAGAGGGACGGGUAACCUGCUGAACCCCGUUCGUGGUAGGGAUCGGGGCUUGCAAUUAUUCCCCGUGAACCAGGAGUGCCCAGUAAGUGCAAGUCAUAAGCUUGCGUUGAUUACGUCCCUGCCCUUUGUACACACCGCCCGUCGCUACUACCGAUUGAACGUUUUAGUGAGGUACUCGGACUGAGCCUCAGAAGAUUCACGUCUUUUGUGCUGCUCGGGAAGAUUCCCAAACUUGAGCGUUUAGAGGAAGUAAAAGUCGUAACA
rnacentral:rRNA from 1 species